rnacentral:rRNA from 1 species
GAACGCUAGCUACAGGCUUAACACAUGCAAGUCGAGGGGCAGCAUGGUCUUAGCUUGCUAAGGCCGAUGGCGACCGGCGCACGGGUGAGUAACACGUAUCCAACCUGCCGUCUACUCUUGGACAGCCUUCUGAAAGGAAGAUUAAUACAAGAUGGCAUCAUGAGUUCACAUGUUCACAUGAUUAAAGGUAUUCCGGUAGACGAUGGGGAUGCGUUCCAUUAGAUAGUAGGCGGGUAACGGCCCACCUAGUCUUCGAUGGAUAGGGGUUCUGAGAGGAAGGUCCCCCACAUUGGAACUGAGACACGGUCCAAACUCCUACGGGAGGCAGCAGUGAGGAAUAUUGGUCAAUGGGCGCAGGCCUGAACCAGCCAAGUAGCGUGAAGGAUGACUGCCCUAUGGGUUGUAAACUUCUUUUAUGAAGGAAUAAAGUCGGGUAUGUAUACCCGUUUGCAUGUACUUUAUGAAUAAGGAUCGGCUAACUCCGUGCCAGCAGCCGCGGUAAUACGGAGGAUCCGAGCGUUAUCCGGAUUUAUUGGGUUUAAAGGGAGCGUAGAUGGAUGUUUAAGUCAGUUGUGAAAGUUUGCGGCUCAACCGUAAAAUUGCAGUUGAUACUGGAUAUCUUGAGUGCAGUUGAGGCAGGCGGAAUUCGUGGUGUAGCGGUGAAAUGCUUAGAUAUCACGAAGAACUCCGAUUGCGAAGGCAGCCUGCUAAGCUGCAACUGACAUUGAGGCUCGAAAGUGUGGGUAUCAAACAGGAUUAGAUACCCUGGUAGUCCACACGGUAAACGAUGAAUACUCGCUGUUUGCGAUAUACAGCAAGCGGCC